AACGAACGCUGGCGGCGCGCCUAAUACAUGCAAGUCGAGCGAGAAGGUGUAGCAAUACACUUGUAAAGCGGCGAACGGGUGAGGAAUACAUGGGUAACCUACCCUCGAGGUGGGGAAUAACUAGACCGAAAGGUUAGCUAAUACCGCGUACGCUUCCGGAACUGCGGUUCCGGAAGGAAAGCGAUACUGUGAGUAUCGCGCUCUUGGAGUGGGCUCAUGUCCUAUCAGUCUUGUUGGUGAGGUAACGGCUCACCAAGGCUUCGACGGGUAGCUGGUCUGAGAGGACGAUCAGCCACACUGGCACUGCGACACGGGCCAGACUCCGUACGGGGAGGCAGCAAGGUAAGGAAUAUUGCGCAAUGGACGACAGUCUGACGCAGCGACGCCGCGGUGGGGGA
rnacentral:rRNA from 1 species